rnacentral:lncRNA from 1 species
GAAUGAUUCAUUCACGAAGCUCUAUUUAACUGCACGAUGUUGCAUGGGCUGAGGAGACAUGUUGUUGAAGGCUGCAUAAAUGUUACUUGUAUGAAGUUUGAGACCGAAUAGAAGCACGGACCCUGAAUUGCUCGACAAAAUGUGUUUAAAAUGGCUUUGUUUACACUUAUAACUAAUUUAUUGUUAAAUAAAACAAAUUGUACAAAAC